rnacentral:rRNA from 1 species
GACGAACCGUGCGAACGUUGUUCGGAAUCACUGGGCUUAAAGGGCGCGUAGGCGGGUCUCCAAGUCAGUGGUGAAAUCUUUCAGCUCAACUGGAAAAGUGCCGCUGAUACUGGGGAUCUCGAGGGAGGUAGGGGUCGAUGGAACUAAUGGUGGAGCGGUGAAAUGCGUAGAUAUCAUUAGGAACGCCGGUGGCGAAAGCGAUCGACUGGACCUCUUCUGACGCUGAGGCGCGAAAGCCAGGGGAGCGAACGGG